rnacentral:misc_RNA from 1 species
UCGUAACAAGGUUUCCGUAGGUGAACCUGCGGAAGGAUCAUUAAAAUAACACUUACACACUGAUUUUGACUAGUAAAUAACCCACCAGUUAAGUUCAAUUACACAAUUAGUAAAACUUUCAACAACGGAUCUCUUGGUUCUCGCAUCGAUGAAGAACGCAGCGAAAUGCGAUACGUAGUAUGACUUGCAGACGUGAAUCAUCGAAUCUUUGAACGCACAUUGCGCCUUGGAGCAUUCUCCAAGGCAUGCCUGUUUGAGCGUGAUUUCUUCUCACCGCACCCGGUGGUUUUGCAUCCGCGCUAAAUAUCAUUCCAGCAGCGAAGUCUACGCUUUCACUGCUCCAUGCUAUUUCCUCAAAUCAGGUAGGACUACCCGCUGAACCUAAGCAUAUCA